CCAUAGAUACCCAUUGGACAGGGAAUCCUCCACUUGGCCGAAAUCCCAUUGAUGAAGAGGAUGCGGCCUUCUUCUCAUCUCUUUAUGGCGGUUUCAAUGUUCUGAAAUCAACACUUGAGCUACCUCCCGCCACCUUGCUGCCACCUCCAUGGUUUGCUGUCCAACGCUGAUCCUUGAGGUCCAAGCUAGGUCCUUCAUUCCUAAAACACAUAAAAGAACCCAUCUUAGGCGGCAGCAUAUUCUCAUUAAUAUUAAAUGAAGUACCGACGAACGAAAGUACCUGAUAAUUUAGUUGUC
rnacentral:lncRNA from 1 species